rnacentral:rRNA from 1 species
UACAGUGGGUGCGAGCGUUAAUCGGAAUUACUGGGCGUAAAGUGUGCGCAGGCGGCCGAGCAAGUCGAGUGUGAAAGCCCCGGGCUUAACUUGGGAAUUGCGCUCGAAACUACUUGGCUGGAGUGUGGCAGAGGAAGGUGGAAUUCCAGGUGUAGCGGUGAAAUGCGUAGAGAUCUGGAGGAACACCGAUGGCGAAGGCAGCCUUCUGGGCCAACACUGACGCUCAUGCACGAAAGCGUGGGGAGCAAACAGG